rnacentral:lncRNA from 1 species
GCGGGACCCGCGCUCAGUGAAAGAGAGAAGGGAGAGGGGAAAGCCAGGGCUGGCUGCUGCGCUGGGCUGCCAGCUGGGCCGCGCGAGGGGGAAGUUGGGUCGAGCGCGGGGGGAGGGGCCAGGGGGGCUAGGCGGGCCGAAAAGCCACCACGUAAGCCUUCUCCUCUUUUUUCUUUUUUUUUUCUUUUUCAAAUCUUUUUUCCAAGGGAGCUUUUGAUCAUAAACAAAUAAAAUAAAAUUAGAAACAUCAGCACAAAAAUACCAUGCUCCAGCAUGAAUGCAAAACAUGUUUCUAAAAUUAUGAUGAAUUUUAAUUUCCACAAAAUUAUUUAUUUGCUAGAUUUAAAUGCUCAAAAAAAUAAUUAAAUAAAUCAAAUUAAUUCCUAUUAAUAGAAAUCAAAUUUUUGGGUGUUACACCACCAUAUUCCAUACACAUGCACAUCUUGGUUUGAUUGUAUGCUUUAAUUCUCUUUGGAUCCAUUGUUUGACUUUACAAUAUAUGUAUUACAAGUAUGCUAUUCCUUGUUAUUGCCACUCCUGUGAGCUCCAUGCUGGGUAUUUUAAACGCAAACAGAAAAAUCCGCAAGCGCACGGAUACCGAUGUAGCUUUCACCCGGGAGUAUUCCAGAGUAUCGAUUUUCCACAGGGAACGUGAGUGUACUAAUUAAGAUUCAAGAUCGCCCAAGGAUAACUAUACAAUUAUUUUUGGUGGGAAGAGAGGAAGUUUCCUAAGAGUUCUCUAGUUGAUCUAAGAAUCAAGAAUUACUUCAAGAUUAUCUAUUUCGGGACAUCAGAACACUAACCACAGAAAGAGAUGAGAAGGGGGCUAGGAUGCUCUGACUACGGUCCUACAAACACCGAUCCGAACGAGGUGGAAUACGUCGACCGUUAGGGCUGUCACUACCCUAGGGCUCCCACAACAAUCCGUAGGAUUGGGUGCAAUUACAGGUAAUUGCAGGACUAAACACCACGUCUAAUCUAUUAAUUACUACUCUAGCGUUAUAAAGACUAG